UACAGAGGGUGCGAGCGUUGUUCGGAAUUACUGGGCGUAAAGCGCGCGCAGGCGGCUCUUUAAGUCCACUGGUCAAAUGCCGGGGCUCAACCCCGUGCCCGCCAGGGAUACUGGAGAGCUGGAGUACGGUAGGGGCAGGGGGAAUUUCCGGUGGAGCGGUGAAAUGCGUAGAGAUCGGAAAGAACACCAACGGCGAAAGCACUCUGCUGGGCCGACACUGACACUGAGAGACGAAAGCUAGGGGAGCGAAUGGG
rnacentral:rRNA from 1 species